UACGCGUAUAUUUUUGCGGUAAUUUACCCUCGCACGCGUCCCUUUUAUUGUGGGUUUUCUCGCUUUGGGCUCUUCUGAUUUAUUGAUUUGGGCUGAUAUUUUUUAAAAACUUAAGCCCAGAACAAAAAUCAUAUCAUUGUUUUAGGGUUGUUCGUACGUCUACCUCUUCCGGCUGAGUCUUCGCCGUCCUGCGACUAACUAUUCCUUUUGCUUACCGUAACGUCUCAAACCUUCUUUAAUCCGUAAUUUACUUCGAGUUUUCCAUUGAGUAAUCCACCCCUCCUUCAUUAAAAUUUUGCUCUGCCUCUUCGUCUGCUCUGAAACGGCCUGGAACUCCAGCUAUAAAUAUAGGACUUUCUACAAUGUGAAUUCGAACUCAAACCAUAUUUGAAAAGAAGGAUUUUCAAGCAGAUGAUUCCGAUGGCGAAUUCAUACAAUUUUCUUGCUGAUUUGAGAGCCGGGAUAUGCUUAAACACUGCAGAGGUCCGACUCUUGAGGCUUUGGGAAGCCGAAAACAUCAACAGAGGGGAGCAACUGAUGAGCAUGAAGAUUUUAUUGAUUGAUGAAACAUGUAAGUAUCAUCUAUCCACAAAUAUUAUUAUACUCCCGUUUGGAUCUCUUCUUAUUUGCAUAAAACCCGUCUCAAUCUCCUUCAAACAGUGUAUCUUUGUCUCUCCUGAUUUGUUUCCGGAAAUUUUAUUCUUUGCAUAUGUUGAUGUGGUUUCGUUUUAAAUUUUUUCCAUAUGUUGUUGUUCCAUUUUAAAUUAUUUUUUCAUACUAAAAUAAUCAUCAUUAAAUUUUCCUCCUGUUUCCCCGUUUAUCUAUUUUGUCACCAAAUAAAAUUUCUUUGGUCGUGUUGGAGACAUGAAAUAAGUAAUUCCAAGUAUGGCAACCUAGACUUAUUGAAAGUGAACAAGAAACAAACAUGUAUAUCACAAAAAGGAGCCCAAGAUUGUUCUUGUCACUGGCAUCAAUCCUAAAAUAGUUUCGGGUAAGCUUUAUCUCAAUGGCCCAUCUGCCACCCGUGUGUUCUUUGACUGUGAGACUGCUGUAGGAAAGGAUGCGUUUGAGAGGAUGCGUUUGAGAGGCAAGUUAUUUAAUAUUUUUUCCAUAUAUUUAUUCAUUUUCUUUGUUUCAACCGUUACCUGCCUUUAUCACUCUUAUUUCCUAGCAGACUGCCAGGUGGUGGGACAGACCAGGAAGGGUCUUCAUCAAAGGUGGUCCACGCUCAAAAGAUUGAACCCCUCACAAUCGCUGAUCUUAACCAGUUUGUAUUAACUGGUGAUAGGUAGAAAAUAGUUAGUUCAUAACUUUCCAGAGAUUAUGCAAAUAGUAUGUUCACAACUCUGUUAAUAUCUUGAGUAUUUAUGUGUUGCUCUUGCGUUGACAGAUCAUCGAGGUUCUUUGUACGACUAUAGUUUUGUUCUUUACAUUGCUAAGAAAUAGCAAAAACCCUUCUCAUUAC